GGAGUGUUGUUUCUGCUGCCAGG
rnacentral:miRNA from 1 species